UCCGUAGGUGAACCUGCAGAUGAUCAUUC
rnacentral:rRNA from 1 species